GUGGAGGAGAAUGGGGAGGUGGGAGAAGUGGUAGGAGGUGGGGAAGAAUGGGGAGGGCCAGCACGGGAUCGAUGACAAACGAUCCGAUGGGGGCAUGCCGGAUCCGAGGAGGAGAUGGUAGCAAGGGGUCUCGAAUGUGGUGACGUGGCCUCCGACAGUACGGAGGGCAAAAAAUAGGGAUGGAGGUGGUGGUUUAAGGGGCAACGGUGGAUGAAGAACAAGGCGAUUAGGG
rnacentral:lncRNA from 1 species